rnacentral:tRNA from 1 species
GGGGCUGUAGCUCAGUGGUAGAGUGCUCAGCUAGCACAUGUGAGGCACUGGGUUCGAUCCUCAGCACCACA